rnacentral:lncRNA from 1 species
AAAAAGAUUUGCAAUUUUUUUUAAUAGCUCUGGUAUCUCAGGGCUUGUCUACAUCACAAAGUUGCAGCGCUGGUGAGGGGGUUACAGCGCUGCAACUUAGGAGGUGUACACAUCUGCAGGGCAUCACCAGCGCUGCAACUCCCUGUUUGCAGCGCUGGCCGUACUCCCGUUUUGUCUCGGGUGUAGAGGAUCCAGCGCUGGUGAUCCAGCGCUGGUAAUCAAGUGUAGACACUUACCAGCGCUUUUCUUGACCUCCGUGGAAUAAGCAGGUAUCCCAGCAUACCUGAGGAAGCGUCUGGUAAUCAAUCAGGUCUCCUUCCCCGGUUUGCAGGGGGGUUCAGGGAACACGAGAGCAAACANAACUGAAAGUUAUCAGGGUGGAUCUAUCCCCCAGGGUGAAUUUUACUUAGAAGUUUGAACUCAAAAAUGACAUGGCCAUUUCUGAGUACAGAGAGAGAAGCAGAGCAGCCUAGUGGAUAGAACAAUGAACUGGGACUCAAGAAACUGCAUUCUAGUCCCAGCUCUGCCAUUGGCCUACUGAGUGACCUAGGGUGCAUGACGUCUCUCCUCUGUGCCUCAGUCGGUCCCCACAUAUAAAAUGGCAGCAAUGAUGCUGACCUCCUUUGUAAAGCACUUUGAGACCUGUUGAUGAAAAGCACUAAUAAGAGAGAGGUGUUUUUAUUUUAAAUAGUGAAAAAUACAUGUUUGCUACUAUAAAAAAAAAGAUUUGCAAUUUUUUUUAAUAGCUCUGGUAUCUCAGGGCUUGUCUACAUCACAAAGUUGCAGCGCUGGUGAGGGGGUUACAGCGCUGCAACUUAGGAGGUGUACACAUCUGCAGGGCAUCACCAGCGCUGCAACUCCCUGUUUGCAGCGCUGGCCGUACUCCCGUUUUGUCUCGGGUGUAGAGGAUCCAGCGCUGGUGAUCCAGCGCUGGUAAUCAAGUGUAGACACUUACCAGCGCUUUUCUUGACCUCCGUGGAAUAAGCAGGUAUCCCAGCAUACCUGAGGAAGCCUCUGGUAAUCAAGCAGGUCUCCUUCCCCGGUUUGCUCUCGCGUUCCCCGAACCCCCGUGCAAGCAGGUCUCCUUCCCUGCGGUUUGCUCUCGCGUUCCCCGAAUCCCCGAGCAAGCAGGUCUCCUUCCCUGCGGUUUGCAGGGGGGUUCGGGGAACGCGAGAGCAAACCGCGGCGAAGCUGGUCUCCUUCCCCGGUUUGCUCUCGCGUUCCCCGAACCCCCGUGCAAGCAGGUCUCCUUCCCUGCGGUUUGCACUCGCGUUCCCCGAAUCCCCGAGCAAGCAGGUCUCCUUCCCUGCGGUUUGCAGGGGGGUUCGGGGAACGCGAGAGCAAACCGCGGCGAAGCUGGUCUCCUUCCCCGGUUUGCUCUCGCGUUCCCCGAACCCCCGUGCAAGCAGGUCUCCUUCCCUGCGGUUUGCACUCGCGUUCCCCGAAUCCCCGAGCAAGCAGGUCUCCUUCCCUGCGGUUUGCAGGGUGGUUCGGGGAACGCGAGAGCAAACCGCGGCGAAGCUGGUCUCCUUUCCCGGUUUGCUCUCUCGUUCCCCGAACCCCCGAGCAAGCAGGUCUCCUUCCCUGCGGUUUGCAGGGUGGUUCGGGGAACGCGAGAGCAAACCGCGGCGAAGCUGGUCUCCUUUCCCGGUUUGCUCUCUCGUUCCCCGAACCCCCGAGCAAGCAGGUCUCCUUCCCUGCGGUUUGCAGGGUGGUUCGGGGAACGCGAGAGCAAACCGCGGCGAAGCUGGUCUCCUUUCCCGGUUUGCUCUCUCGUUCCCCGAACCCCCGAGCAAGCAGGUCUCCUUCCCUGCGGUUUGCAGGGUGGUUCGGGGAACGCGAGAGCAAACCGCGGCGAAGCUGGUCUCCUUUCCCGGUUUGCUCUCUCGUUCCCCGAACCCCCGAGCAAGCAGGUCUCCUUCCCUGCGGUUUGCAGGGUGGUUCGGGGAACGCGAGAGCAAACCGCGGCGAAGCUGGUCUCCUUUCCCGGUUUGCUCUCUCGUUCCCCGAACCCCCGAGCAAGCAGGUCUCCUUCCCUGCGGUUUGCAGGGUGGUUCGGGGAACGCGAGAGCAAACCGCGGCGAAGCUGGUCUCCUUUCCCGGUUUGCUCUCUCGUUCCCCGAACCCCCGAGCAAGCAGGUCUCCUUCCCUGCGGUUUGCAGGGUGGUUCGGGGAACGCGAGAGCAAACCGCGGCGAAGCUGGUCUCCUUUCCCGGUUUGCUCUCUCGUUCCCCGAACCCCCGAGCAAGCAGGUCUCCUUCCCUGCGGUUUGCAGGGUGGUUCGGGGAACGCGAGAGCAAACCGCGGCGAAGCUGGUCUCCUUUCCCGGUUUGCUCUCUCGUUCCCCGAACCCCCGAGCAAGCAGGUCUCCUUCCCUGCGGUUUGCAGGGUGGUUCGGGGAACGCGAGAGCAAACCGCGGCGAAGCUGGUCUCCUUUCCCGGUUUGCUCUCUCGUUCCCCGAACCCCCGAGCAAGCAGGUCUCCUUCCCUGCGGUUUGCAGGGUGGUUCGGGGAACGCGAGAGCAAACCGCGGCGAAGCUGGUCUCCUUUCCCGGUUUGCUCUCUCGUUCCCCGAACCCCCGAGCAAGCAGGUCUCCUUCCCUGCGGUUUGCAGGGUGGUUCGGGGAACGCGAGAGCAAACCGCGGCGAAGCUGGUCUCCUUUCCCGGUUUGCUCUCUCGUUCCCCGAACCCCCGAGCAAGCAGGUCUCCUUCCCUGCGGUUUGCAGGGUGGUUCGGGGAACGCGAGAGCAAACCGCGGCGAAGCUGGUCUCCUUUCCCGGUUUGCUCUCUCGUUCCCCGAACCCCCGAGCAAGCAGGUCUCCUUCCCUGCGGUUUGCAGGGUGGUUCGGGGAACGCGAGAGCAAACCGCGGCGAAGCUGGUCUCCUUUCCCGGUUUGCUCUCUCGUUCCCCGAACCCCCGAGCAAGCAGGUCUCCUUCCCUGCGGUUUGCAGGGUGGUUCGGGGAACGCGAGAGCAAACCGCGGCGAAGCUGGUCUCCUUUCCCGGUUUGCUCUCUCGUUCCCCGAACCCCCGAGCAAGCAGGUCUCCUUCCCUGCGGUUUGCAGGGUGGUUCGGGGAACGCGAGAGCAAACCGCGGCGAAGCUGGUCUCCUUUCCCGGUUUGCUCUCUCGUUCCCCGAACCCCCGAGCAAGCAGGUCUCCUUCCCUGCGGUUUGCAGGGUGGUUCGGGGAACGCGAGAGCAAACCGCGGCGAAGCUGGUCUCCUUUCCCGGUUUGCUCUCUCGUUCCCCGAACCCCCGAGCAAGCAGGUCUCCUUCCCUGCGGUUUGCAGGGUGGUUCGGGGAACGCGAGAGCAAACCGCGGCGAAGCUGGUCUCCUUUCCCGGUUUGCUCUCUCGUUCCCCGAACCCCCGAGCAAGCAGGUCUCCUUCCCUGCGGUUUGCAGGGUGGUUCGGGGAACGCGAGAGCAAACCGCGGCGAAGCUGGUCUCCUUUCCCGGUUUGCUCUCUCGUUCCCCGAACCCCCCUUGAAGCCGCCCAACAGCGCUGCAGUGUGGCCACAUCUAACACCACUUGCAGCGCUGGUUGCUGUAAGUGUGGCCACUCUGCAGCGCUGGCCCUAUACAGCUGUACUAAUACAGCUGUAACAACCAGCGCUGCAAAAUUGUAGAUGUAGACAUACCCUCAGAGGUCUUGAUCAGAAACUUGAAAUUUGGCAGGG